GUUGUUAUUCUUUUGUUAGGUUAUAUUCUGCCGUCAGACAAUUAGCUAGAUGACCGCAGUAUCGUCCUUGUUUGAUGAAAUCGAGCCCAUUGAUAUCGCAAAAUCAUGUGAUGUUGAAGAAACGUCGUUGACUGUUUAUAGGAUUUCGGAGGACGAUCUCAUCUCAGUCUUAUGGAGUUGCUGGAAGGUGUUGAUCGUCAAUUCAAAAAACUUUGGUGGCUUCUUAAGAGAUCUAUGAUGGAUUGUUUGAAAAUUUACACUCUUUUGUGAAAAGAUAUAUGGCAGGUAACGAAACUGAGUCAUGCCAUUAUAUGUGAACGAUGAGAGCUUUGAGACAAAAGUCAAUAAUAAACAAAGUACUGUAGUCAAACUAGCUUUACACUCAUCGGUCACAUUAGAAAGCAAUUGAGACAAAAGCUCUUGCAGCCUCCACCCUCUGAAAAUCUUUUUUCCAGGAAGAGACUUUUUGAUUCUUUUUUUGGAUACAUUGACCAGUUUUGGUGUUCACCGCUUCUAUAGAACUUCCCAUAGUAAUACCAUAUAACAUUUGGCAUAUCUUUAUCCCCCAUGAACUUGUUCACAACGCGAAGAUUCUUGCCAAAUAUAUAUAAACCAAUAAUAAAACUAUCAUGUUCAAUCGUGCUCCAACAUUCUUCACUUGAUGAACACGGAACUGAAACCAAACCAUUGUUAGUUUCACAACCUACAUUACAAAACUCACCCUUUCUCCCCAUUUCCCACCAAACCCUUCACCUUUCUCACGGAUUCUCCCCCAAAUCGGUUCAUUCUCAUCAAUUUCACCAAAUUCUCCUAUAAAUCGAUAAAUCCGCCCACCCACCACAUCUUCGAUCAAGACGAAGUCACUUCGAGUUGAAAUGAAGCCACAGAUCAAGACGACGGACACGAAGACAAUGGCGGUGAUGAUAACAUGAUCUGCUGUUAGGUAUUAUGGCUUCUGCAACAGGAGCAGCAGGAGUAGGAUACAUAGGAUUCAAAGGAAACAAUCACGCAGGAUGGACCAAGAUUUGCAACGUCUACGGUUCCUUCUGCAGGCAUAUUGCAGCCUCUAUUGCUGUGUCACUCUUACCCUCUGUAGCACUUCUGCUGCUUGUUUGGUUCUCCGUUUUUGUGCUUUCGAAGAAAAUCUCAAGGAGUUAGUUUGGUUGACGCGCGAUAUGUUUCCUGUAUGUAUUAGUUUUACGAUAUUUCCCUUCACAUUGUGAGCUUUCUCAAGAUUUCAUGUAAUGGCAUAAAAAUGAUAUGUUAUUUCACACGCUUGUGGAAGCAAGCAUAGUUUAAUUUAAGCUUAAAAGUUUGUGAAAACAA